rnacentral:tRNA from 4 species
GGGCCUUUAGCUCAGCUGGCUAGAGCGCUUCCAUGGCAUGGAAGAGGUCAUGGGUUCAAGUCCCAUAAGGUCCACAA